rnacentral:lncRNA from 1 species
CAGCCUUCAGAGUGUCAUGACUAUGCUGAUUGAUGCUGAGUCUCGACAACAAGCUCUAAUGGUUGAGGCUCCUAGCUCUGCCAAUCUUGUUUCACAGCAGUCUGCUGACUCUACUACUGAUAAGUUUACACCGGUUUAUCGGCCGUCUAACUCUCGUGGUCGUGGGCGUGGCCAUUCUUCUAGCACGCGAUUUCAAUGUUAAUUAUGUGGUAAAAUAGGACAUCUUGUGGACCGUUGCUACUACCGGUUUGAUUCGUCCUACAAAAGCACUAACUACAGGCCUCCUCUACAAGCCAAUGUCUAUAUGUCUGCUCCUCCUAUGGUUCCAUACUCUAACUGGACAUAUCAGGUGACUUCUCCUUCUAGCUAGCCAAAUUCUUUUGUUGGUAACCCAGUGCAACAGGUUUCAUCCGUGGCUGUGUCUGCUCCUCAACCGCAUGCUAUGGUAACUACUCAUGAUACGGUUAGAGAUCCUGCAUGGUAUCCCGAUUCUGGGGUAACACAUCAUCUCACUCACUCGGUUGAGUCUCUUGGUGAUAACAUGUCUCGUAAUGGACCAGAUAGGGUGUAUAUUGGCAAUGGUAAUUCUCUGCAUGUGUUAUGCUCCGGUCAGUCAGCUCUUAUUACUAAGAUACGACCACUUUACAUGAAGUCUUUGCUAUAUACACCAUAAACUUACUUUUUGUGUCUAAGUUCACCAGAGACAAUCAAGUGAUGUUUGAAUUCUUUCAUUCACAAUGUCAAGUUCAAGACUUAAAGACCAAGGAGGUGCUUCUUCAAGGUUCAGUGCAGCAUGGCCUAUAUAAGCUUCGUCUCAACAAUACUCUUAAGAAUGAUUAGCCUAGUCCGACAGCUAGUUGUUUUCAAACUCAUGCUUCAGUCCCUCUAAGUCUGUGGCAUGCUAGGCUAGCUCACCCUUGCAGAAAUGUACUGAUCAAAGCAUUACAACGUUGUAAUAUGGUUUUUGAUGACAAUAAAGAUACGUUUGCAUGUGUUGUGUGUCACUUAGGUAAAGAGCAUAAACAGCCCUUACGCUCCUUAGAGACUUAAUAUGUUGCACCUUUACAACUUGUAGCAGUAGAUGUCUGUGGUCCAGCACCAGUAACGUCCAACGGGUUUCGAUAUUAUGUAGCAUUUAUAGAUGCUUUUACAAGGUUUACAUGGCUCUAUUUCUUGCAUAAAAUGUCAGAAGUUGUCACUAUUUUUCCUCAUUUUCACAAACAGGUUGAGAGGACUCUUGGGCUGAAGCUUCGAUCACUACAAACAGAUGGUAGGGGUGAGUUCCAAGCUCUUCGACCCUACCUCGCUCAGCAUGAAAUUCUGCAGAGGUUCACAUGUCCCUACACGUCAGCCCAAAAUGGUUUGGUUGAACUCAAACAUCGUCAGAUAGUUGACACUGGGCUCUCUAUGCUCGCUCAUGCAUCAAUGCCGGUGACAUAUUGGAAUGAUGCUUUCAACAAUGCUGCCUAUCUCAUUAAUAGAUUACCCUCUGCACCUUUAGGAUAUAUUUCUCCUUAUGAAAAGCUUUUUCAAACUAAGCCCAACUAUUCCUUCUUUAGAACCUUUGGAUGUCUAUGUUUUCCAAACCUUAGACCGUAUAACAAACUCAAGCUUCAGUUUCGGUCCACUCCUUGUAUUUUUCUCAGAUACUCUACUCUUCAUAAAGGGUAUCGUUACCAAGAUGGAAAUGGCCGAAUUUACAUCUCUCGACAUGUAACAUUUCAUAAAGAUCAGUUUGGGUUCAAAGACACUUGUUCCAAAACAACCCCAAUUACUACACCCUCUCACACUAGCUCCAGGUUGAUGGUUCUAGCUACCAGAUUAAAUUUUCAUAAUUCAUCUACUCAGUCUUCUAGUCAACCUAUUUUGUCCUUACCUCCCUUCCUACUUACUUCACUGGUCUGUCCACAACCUGACUCACCUAUCUCUCCCAUGUUGACUAAUCCCUCAACUGCGUCACUGUCUCACUCACAUGUUACUGUGCCUAUAGCAUUCCCAUUCCUGCUCCACAAAACACCCAUGCUAUGGUCACCCACAACAAAGUCGGUAUUUUUAAACCAAAGGUUUACCUAAGUGGUGUUGACUUAUCGCCUGAUGUUCUUACGAACGUUCAUGCUGCUAUGGCUCAUCACCUCUGGAAAGAAGCUGUUCUUCUUGAGUUGGAUGCUCUUGUCCGUAACAACACCUAGACCCUGUGUCCACUUCCUCUUCAACGACAAACCAUUGGUUGUAAGUGGCUGUUCAAGGUGAAGAAGAAAGCAGAUGGUACUAUAGAAAGAUACAAAGCUCUAUUAGUAGCUAAGGGCUUCUCUUAGCAUGCCGAGACUAACUUUCGAGACACGUUCAGUCCAGUGGUUUGAGCUGUUACCAUAGGAACAGUUCUUGCUAUUGCAGUCAUGAAAGGAUGGUCACUACAACAGGUGGACGUAAACAAUGUGUUUUUCAAUGUGUAACUUAUCGAAGAAGUCUUUAUGGAUCAGCCACCAGGUUUUGAGGUACAUGGUUCGGGUGGUCAGAAGCUGGUGUGUAAACUAAAUAAAGCCUUGUAUGGGUUGCGACAGGCUCCUCGUACCUGGUCUCAUACACUUCAAUAAUUUAUGGUAAGUAAGCUGGGGUUUCAAGCGUCCAAGGCAGAUCUUUCAUUGUUUAUUCGCAGGUCUGGUAACAGUCAGCUGUUCCUUACGGUAUAUGUUGACGACAUUAUCCUCACUGGUAACUCUACUCAAGCUGUUGAUGAUGUGGUCCUUCAACUGCACAAACAGUUUACUCUCAAAGACUUGAGUUCUCUUAAUUUUUUUCUUGGCAUUGAGGUUCAGUCCAUACCUCACGACCUGCUUCUCACCCAGCGAAAAUAUGUUCAAGACAUUCUACGAAAGACAGGAAUGGAGGGUGCAGCUACCACACCUACUCCUAUGAUCAGUUUUCCUAAGUUGAUUACUUCUGAUGGUAGUCAGGUAGUUGAUGGGCAUCUUUACCGUAGCACUAUAGGCAUGCUACAAUAGAUGUGUGUUACAAGACCUGACUUAUCUUUCUGUGUUAAUAAACUAAGCCAAUACAUGAACUCACCUAGUGAAGUUCACUGAAAAGUUGUUAAGCGAGUCCUUCGAUACUUAGCUGGAACUAUGGAUCAUGGGUUAUUCUUCUCCAAAGGGCAGUUCAAAUUGGUUUGCUACUCAAAUGUAGACUGGGCCUCUUCUGUUGAAGAUAGGUGUUCUACCACAGGUUAUGUUAUCUUUCUCGGGCCAAAUCCAAUAGCUUGGUGCUAAAAAAAAUAGCCUGUUGUAUCCAAGUCGUCUACAGAGGCUAAAUAUCACAGCCUGGCAAAUUGUGUUUCUGAACUACUAUGGAUUCGACAACUGCUAGAUGAGAUAGGGAUUUGCAUGGAACAUGUACCAACAAUCUAGUAUGAUAAUACGUCUACAGUGUCUAUGUUAGCCAAUCCAACGCAUCAUGCAAGGGUGAAACAUAUUGAGAUUGACCAUCACUUUGUUAGAGAGAAAGUUGUUGAUGGAUCCCUACAGGUCAAUUUUGUUCCAUCUACUAAACAGAUUGCUGAUGUGCUUACUAAACCUAUAGCUCCCAAGAAGUUUACAAAUCUUCGAGGUGCUCUCCGAGUUACAACAAAAGAUGAGUUGGCUGAUUUUAAGGACAUAAGAAGAUCAGGAGAAUGUUAGAGUGUUAUAAGGAAGUUGGUUAGUCGUCAAGUUAGUAGUUAGUGAGCAGUGAGUUAGUUAAGGAAGUUACGAUCUAUCAAUGUUGUAUAAAUACAUGUAUUGAGCUAUUCUCUUGGAUAAUACAAGCUGAUAAUAUUCAUCAGUUGUUAGUUUCUUUAGUAUAUUUCAACAAUUAUCACUUAAUUAAUAUUACAGUUAAUUAUAUUAAUUAGUUAUUAUUUUAAAUAAUGUUACAUUGCAUUAACGAUAUAAAGUAAAAUUAUAUUAUAUGCUAAAAAUUUUAAAAAUGAUUUAUUUAUGAUUUGAAAAUUUUCUAUUAUAAAAAUUUUAAAAAUAGAAUAUUAAAAAAUACUUUUUAGCGUCGUAACUGGUGACACGGUAGAAGAUGCUGGAAGGGAAAUCUCGGUAGGAGAUCGCAAUACUAAGAAAGCCCGGUUUAAAGGCUUGGAUUGUGAUAUGGAGAAUGACAUGGUUGUGGAUUCAUUUUCAGCAUCGGAAAUCUCUUGGAGGGAUAAAGUCUUGGGUCGAAGAGUCCCCGAUUCUAGUAGGGAGGAGGACUUCAAGCUUUUGGAUGGAGAUGUUACGAGAUCAACGGUGAAUGGUAUUCCCGCUAUUAGUUUUUUAGAAAUGGUUCAAUAGAUUUUGUUUAGAGAAAUGAUGACUAUGGUUGUGGUUAAGCUUCUUAGUCAAAAUUUAUUUUAUUUUGUUCUGCUUAUAAGAUUCAAAGCAUGUGAAAACUGUCUCAACAAUUCCACCUCAUGGACGUGGAAAAUGGGUAUUUUCUAGUUAAGUUUCAGAGUCGCGUUGAUUAUGAUAAGGUACUUACCCAAGGGCAUUGGAUUGUGUUUGGCCAGUAUCUCACGGUUCAACCGUGGACACUGGAGUUUGACCUUCUCUGGGCUUUCCCUAGCAAUACGAUGGUAUGGGUCAGGUUGCUUAGUCUUCCGGGUUUCAUCUACAAACGUCAGUUUUUGGAAAAAAAUAAGGGGUUUAAUAGGGACGGUUAUCAAGUUGGACUUUCUUAAGGACAAUGGGUUGAGAGGAAAAUUUGCAAGGAUGGCUGUAUGCAUUAAUCUAAUAAAACUUCUGGUCUCUCAAAUCAUGGUUAAUGGGGCGAUGCAGAGGGUGGAAUUCAAAUCGCUUAUAUCCGUUUUUUUCUUGUAAUUGUUUGGGCCACCAAAAGAACUAUGUCCGAGUGAGGGGCCUACGAAAGAGAUGGUUGUGGGAUUUAGAUCGGCGACAGAGGACUUACCAGGGGCAAACAAGGUGGGUGAGGUGGCAGAACCGUUUGGCCCUUGGAUGAUCGUUGAAAGAAAAUCACAAUGAAAUCCUCGGAUUCGUCAAAGCUUAGAGAUAAAAGGGCCCGUGAUCAAUUAUCUGUAUCUACUUGGUAGGAAAUUGGCCGUGAAGGGUGUGACAAAGAUUGAUUUGCCGGGGAUCUAUUUCCAAAAGGGGGAUUUUUCAUCGACCAAAAAUCAUGGAGGGUCUUUUAGGGAUAAAAAGAAUAAUGGUGCAGUGGUUGUUAAUGAAAACACUUUUAGUAUUUUGGGUCAAAAUAAUAUGGAGAGGUUAGAUUUUUUGGAUGGAGCCGAAAGAAGAGAGGUUAGUAAGCCUACUAGGGAAGGUUCGAACAAGCUGUUUGGGUCACCUAUAAAGUCUCCAAGCCUGGAUAAAAAGGCACUGGAAAAUGCUGGAAAAAUAAUGGGUGUUGGGCCUGGUUUAACAACCCAAGGAGGUGGGGGGUUUAGCUAACCCAAUUUUGGUGGACAAUCUUUCGACUGGGCAAAAGGAUAUUUAUAAAUCUGUUUCUUCUAUAAGACACCUAAUUUUUAGGGAAAAUCAAUCUAUGAUAGGUAUUAAUUUUCACUUUAGUCCAAUGUUUAAUGGUCCAAUAGAAUCGAUAGUGGUAAUAAAUAAAGAGAUUCUAGAUUAUAGGAGCCAUUCAACUGUUAUUUUUAAAGAGAACAGAGAUUUCAAAAAUUUCAAGUCUACUAAAGUUGGUAGUUUGAAUGGGAGAGGUAAAGGGAUUCUAAUUUCGAAAGGGAGAGGUUUCAGAAAUAAGGGAGAUACUGUCUGAAGUGGUGGUGCUAUCAAUAAGAUAAUUCGGGAACGUGGGGGACGUUUUAAAAAUGUUGGGAAUACAAGGGUUUCGUUGUCUGAUUCAAUGAAUUCCAUGGCUAAACUCAUCAACUUACAAAUUAAUAACGAGACUGAAAUAAUAAAUUUAACCAGUGAUGGAUAAGAUAGAGAUGGUAUAUGCUAGCCUUAGAGCUAUGAUAAAUCUUCUUUCUAUUUUUAUGAAUUUAUCCAUUUUCUUAUGUAAUUGUCAAGGUUGCACGAAUAACAAGUUUUCGAGGAUCUUUCAUGAAUAUAAUCGGGAUUAUAAACCAUAUAUUAUUGGCCUCUUAAAAAUUAGAGUUAGUGGCAAUAAUGAUGAUUCGAUUAUUACAAGUCUUGGAUUCCAAUAUUCUCAUCGAGUGGAAGCUAUUACAUUUUCUAGGGGAAUUUAGGUUGGAUGGAAGGAUUUGUUACAUGUUGAUAUUAUUCAAAGUCACCCACAAUUUGUAUUGAUUUCGGUUUCUGAUAGAAUGUUUCAAAGGUUGAUUUUUAUUUUCUUUGUUUAUGGCAAUUCUGAUAGUCGUAAGUGAAUGAGGCUUUGGGAAGCUUUGAAAUAGAAUAUCCUUUGCUUUGAGUCACAUUGGAUGGUAGUUGGUGAUUUAAUGCGAUUCUGGCUACUAAUGAAAAAAGAGGUCGGCGUGUUAUUGGUAAAACAUGUAUUUUUUUGAAGAAUUUAUGGAUUCAUCUGAGGCACAUGAUUUGGGGUUUAGAGGUGCUUCUUUUAUGUGGAAAAUGGGUGUAAUUUCUAAGCAUUUUGAUAGACCUAUUGGGAAUGAUAAGUGGAUCGCGUCAUUUCUAAACUAUUUGAUGACUCGUCUUCCUAGAUUCAAAUUCAAUCAUAGGCCUAUUCUCUUGUCACUUCGACCGGUGAUUUAUUAGUAUUUGAGUCAUCCUUUUCAUUUUUUGGCGGGAUGGGUUAAACAUGUAGAUUUUCUGAUUUUAUUAAGAAAAAUUAGAUUUUUUAUGGUGAUAUGUCCAGGUAGCUUUCUUACCUUACUAGUAAGCUUAAAGAGUGAAAGAAGAAAGUUUAUGGUCAUAUUGGGGUUCACAAAAGAAGAUUGAUUCAAAAACUUGAUAUGGUUCAAAGAGAUUUGGAUUUUUCUCAGAAUGACCUAUUAUUUCAGUUUGAGUUAGGAAUUAGAAAGAAAUUGGAACAAGUUUUGUAUCACGAGAAGCUUCUCUGGAAACAAAAGACGAGAUAUGGUUGGCUUUCUUUAAGGGACUGCAAUACUAAGUUUUUCAUAGGUACACUCUUAAAAGGCAUAAGCAGAAUCGAAUCUCAACUUUAAAAAAUGUGGAAUGGGUGUGGAUUUUAGAUGAUGAGGAUUUACGACAAGAGGCUAUCUGUUUUUUUGAGAAUUUGUAAGGUAAAGAUUCGUGGCUGAUGAAUGAACUUCCAUCUAGUUCUUUUCUGAGGCUAGAGGAUAGUGAGAUCUAGUUUUUAAGUAAAUUAGUCUUGAAUUAAGAAAUCAAAUUGACGAUGUUUGAUAUGGGACCAUUAAAGGCACUCGGAAGUGAUGAGUUUCAUGCACUCUUUUUUCGGAGCCAGUGGGAUCUUCUUGGGGACUCGAUUUCUACUUGGGUUUAGAAUAUUUAAAUUAUAAGUUAAACAAUGCCAUUAUAUUCCUCAUUCCUAAGGUUUUGAAUCCAAAUUAUUUUUCCCAAUUUCGACCGAUUAGUCUGUGCUCGAUUCUGUAUAAGUUGGUAAUGAAAAUCAUUGCCAAUCGGUUUAAGCUAGUUUUUUUAAGAAUAAUUAGAUAAAAGUAGAUGGGGUUUAUCACGAAAAGAAGUACUACUGAUAAUAUUAUCAUCGUUCAGAAGGUUUUUCAUUCCUUGAAAGUUAAGAAGAAGGUUAGAAAUUGGAUGGCCAUCAAGAUUGAGUUCGAAAAGGCUUAUGAUUGAGUACAGUGGGAGUUUAUCGGUGCAUCUCUUCAUGCAACAGGUAUUCCAAAUUUAUGUUGUAAUGUGAUUAUGUCUGCUAUCACUAUCUCUACUAUACAGAUUUAGUGGAAUGGUACAUCAACUCAGAAAUUUCGGCUGAUUAGGGGUGUACGUCAAGGGUGCCCACUUUCUCCCUAUCUCUUCGUCCUUUGCAUGGAAUUGUUGGGUCAUAGCAUCCAAUCUUGUAUUAUUUAUGGGUGAUGGAUACAUAUCUGCUCAGCUUGUUCGAGACCUCCCUUAUCCCAUUUGUUCUUUGCAAAUGAUUUGAUUCUUUUUGGUCAAGUUGAAGAAGGUCAAGCCACAGUUUUGAAGGAAGUGUUGAUAGUUUUUGUGAGUAUUCAGGGUACAAGAUCAAUUCUCACAAAAUGAAUGUUUACUUUUUCGAAGGGGUAAAUGAGUACGUAGGAGAUAGUCUUUGUCAUAUUUUUAGUUUCUGAAGAGUGAGUAAUCUUAGGAGCUAUUUAAGAGUUCCUUCGUUCCAUGACAGAAUAACCAAUAGUUCUUUGCGGUUUAUGGUAGAUAAGGUUCAUAAUAAAUUAUAGGGAUGGGAUGUGAGGUCGCUAUUUUUGGUUAGUAGGGCCACCUUGGCGCAAUCAGUAUUAUUAGAAAUCCCUAUCUAUUUUAUGCAAUCAAUGUCGAUUCCUAAGGAGCUCUGUGAGGGAAUCGAACGUAUGGUGUGACAAUUUGUGUUAGGGGUUUUGAAUAGUGGUAGGAAAGUAACUUUGGUCAGUUAGGAGGAUGUUUGUCAGCUUCGACAAUAUGGGGGUCUUGGUUUUUGAAGAUUGUAGGAUCAUAACACUUUUUUAUGAUGAAAUUAGGGCUUAAAAUUGUGAUUGAUUCGAAAGCUCUUUGGGUACAGGUGCUUCGUGCAAAGGGAUAGCUAUUAGCAUUCUAGAAACUCUUUCCCGUAGUAGAGGUUCUUUCCUGUGGAAGGCCAUUUCUAAGGUUUGGCCACUUAUUUGAGAGAAUCUACAUUGGUCAGUGGGAGAUGCGAGAAAUAUUAGAUUUUGGCGUGAUCCUUGGGUUUUGAAUGUAGAACCUUUCAUUAAUCUAAUUCCAAGACAUGCUAGUCUUGAUUUAGAUUAUCAACUUAAUGAUAUGGUAGCUGACAACAGUUCUUAGAACCUUGAUUUAUUUCGACUCUGGUUGUCUGAGACUAUCAUUUAGAAAAUUAUCGGCAUAUCGACACCUCACUUGGCAGCAAGAGUUGAUAGAAUUAUCUGGGGAGGAACGAAGACGGUUCGUUCUUCGUUAAGAGUGCAUAUUGCAAAAUUCGAGAGGGAUCUUAGAAUCAGAAGGAUGAUGUUUGGAAGAUCCCUUAGAAAUUCAAAAGCCUCCAAAGAGUUAGCUUUUUUAUCUGGCUAUUGCUUAAGAAAAGAUUACUCAUGAACACACAGAGAGUCCGACAAGGAUUGGGUCAUAAUUCGGCCUGUAGAGUUUGUGGUCAUUCCUCAGAAGAUGUGUUGCAUGUCAUAAGGGAUUGCGUUGAAGCAAGAAAAGUCUGGGACCUUAUUAUUCCUCCUAAGGAACAUCGCAGGUUUUACUCUGGAAAUCUUUUGGAAUGGCUUUUUUUAAAAUUACAAAAUCAUUUUGAUAAAUGCUUUGAGGAGGUCGAUUGGAAGUGCCUUUUUGGAAUUAUCAUCUGGCGUAUUUGGAAGAACCGUAAUCUUUUCAUCUUUUAGGGUAUGAUUUGGAGUAGUUAUGAUACUAUUAAGGUUUCGUAUAGUUGGACCAAACAAUUUCUGUUGACUGACAAAAGGCCUAUAGAGAACAACAUUCAGAAACCGAUCAUUUCCUAUAAUUCAUUUGGAAUUGGGUUAUACUUGAAUAUAGAUGGAUCCGUUAGACUUGAAGAUGGUUCGACAGCAGGAGGAAGAAUUGCGAGAAACAGAAAUGAGGAGUGGGUUACUGGCUUUAAUAGGUUCUUGGGUAGUUGCUCAGUGUUGAGGCUAAACUGUGGGGUAUAUUGGACGGAUUAAACAUCCUAAUUGAUCGAGGUUUAGAUAAUGUGUUGAUCUAGACAGAUAACUUGGAAGCAGUUACGACCAUCAAGGAAAGUCUUACAGGAAGGUCUAAUUCAGCUUUGAUCGGAAGAAUUCUUAAGCUUCUGUAUCAGCUUCAUCAUUGGAAUAUCUAUCACAUUCCUAAAGAAGAUAACCAGAAAGCCGAUAAGUUGGCCAAGUUGGCUCACUUGGGAAGUCAUGCAUUUUUUACAUAUCCCCGUUUGGGGAUUUGGGUUUGCCUUUGUAGGCUUUGAUUUGUAAUUUCUUUUUCAUCACCAAAAUUUUUUCUAUUUUAAUAUUUGAAUUGAUAAGUUAAUAUAUUUUAAUUAUAGGCAUAAAGAUAAAUUUAGCCCUUAACGUUUACUCAUUUUUGUCAUUUUGGCCCUCAACCUUUAAAUUUUAGUCAAAUUGCUUGCUUUUCAACGGAAAAAAUGACUGAACUGUUAAAGUUUAAUGGCAUUGAUGUGAUAGCUCACCUGGCAUUUCAUUGCUAACAUGGAUAAAUUUUCUAAAUGUUUUUACGAACUUUUUUUUAUUUUUUAAAUAUUUUUUAUUACUUUUUUUAGAUUUUUAUGAAUUAUAUGUUGCUAGUGGUCACCUCAAUGCCGUUAAAAUUUUAACAGUUCAAUCAAUUUUUCUAACAAAAAGCAAGCAAUUUGAUUAAAUUUUAAAAGUUGAGGGCCAAAAUAACCUAAAAAAAGAAUAAAGGCCAAAAUGACAAAAUGACAAAAUAAGUAAGCGUUAGAGGCUAAACUUAUCUUUAUGCCUUAAUUAUAUUCAAGAAUUUAAAUAACAAAUAUUAUUUUAUGUUAAUUAUUGCAAUUAAAAAUAUAAUAUUUAAAAAACUGAUUAAAUAUAAACCGCAUAAAAUCACAUGUAAUGCAUGUGUUAUUAGAAGCUCGUACUUUUAAAAAGAAUCAAAUAAGUCCAAAUUAUAAUAGAGUAACAUUUACGGUAUAAAAAUGUCUUGAAAAUUAUUAUUUUCAAUUGUAGUUCAAUCUUAAAAAAAGAUUUUAUUUACCGAACUAUAAGAUCUUUUAAAAUAUUAGUUCGGUUUUCUAUUCUAAUUUGAUCUUAUUUGAUUCUUUUAAUAGUACAAGAAUUAAAUUAAUCUAUAGGAACUAUUUUGAUUAGGUUGGUAAAAUACAGGGACUGUCUUGGGUACAUCCACAUAAAUUUUUCAUACAAGGAUUUCAUUGGCUGUGACUGGAAUUUUUGGAUACAAAUAUAAGUACAAUGACCUAAUUGUAAAAUUUAUAUUUAUUUAUAUAUUUGUAAUUGUUUUUAUUUAAAAAUAAAUUUCUUAAUUCAAGCAUAAGAAUAAUUAAAAUAUGUAUAGACAAACAAAUAUAUGGUAUAAACAUCGAAAUAGCCCCAUUUUAUGUUGAUAUAUUGUAUAGACAAACAAUCAUAUGAUUCCAAUAAAAUUACAAUAUAUACAUAGGAAUUGCAAUUCAAACUUUGUAUUUAUAAUUACACUAAAUCAAAUUAAAUUCAUAAUUUUCCCUUUAAAUAUUCCUAUAAACCUUUAAUCAAUAAAAUAUAAUUUUUAGAAAAAUACACAACGUAGAAGAGUCUGUACAAAAUAUAUAUAUUUUUGUCCAAUCAUUUUUGGUUUGAAAUACAUUUCACAUUUUUUUAUUUUUAAUAAUGAAGAAAAUCAACCACAUUUAUUUCAUUGGAGUAUGCUUUUUACCACUAACCUCCAUCCACUUGAAGCCAAAGCUUGUUUUCCUUUUCCAAUCAUAAGUUUUGAGAGUUUCGAGGUAUUUUUAAAAUUUGUAAAAAAUAAGUUUAUUUUGAAAAUAAAUAUCUUGUUUUUUUCUUCUAAAAUCUUAUAAAUAUUUAAAUAAAAAAAUUGAACUUGUAGAAAUAACAAUGCCAUCUUCCAUUUAAAAGAAAGAAUAAUAGGAAGUGACUGUACGAGAAAUGUUCUAGAAUAUUGACAACUAUGGUUUUGUUUUUCUUGAGAUGAGGGAAAUAACAAAACAAAAAUGUGAAAUGGCAAUAAUUAAUAUGAUUUUAAGUGUAUUUUGAUUUAUUCAUUUAGUUUUCCACACAUUUCUUUGCAUUAUUUUUGUAUAUAACGCCAUCAAAAGAUUCUGCCAUUUCUUUGCAUUACUUUAACCUCAGUUUCAACUGUGAUUCUCUACCACAAUAUGUCUUAAUUUAAUAUUAGAUGAUACGAUUCAUAAUUAUCAUGUCCGAAAUUGAAUAUUUUAGACAUAAAUUUAAUUAAUGUCUACAAUAAAUAUACAAUUGAUAAAAGAGAAUAAGUUAAAAAAAGGUGAAUUACAUGAAAAAUUUGACAUUAAAGUUAAAAAGAGGUGCAACAGACUUUUGGAUUUUAGAAAUAUUUUUAUUUUAAUAUUAUUUUAAAAGACAUCUCUUUAAGAGAUUAAUUAAGAUUAAAUAUAUCUUGAGGAGCAAGUAAAUCAUCAUUAUAUUUUAUUUUAAAUGUUAUUAUUAUGUUUUGGGUCAUUAUUAUUUUAAAUUAUAUAUAAGCGUUAGUGGAAAAGCAUAGGGACCAUCAAAAGAUUCUGUCAUUUUAUUUUGGCUUCUUCUCUUUUUAAUUUUCAAUAAUAUUUUCUUUGCAUUAUUUCCUUUGUAUUCUUCAAAUUAUUAGUAGUUAAAUUUUGAAUCUAGUUUGAGAUUGAGUUUUAGCUUGAUUGGCAGCAGCAUUGUUAUCAGUGUGGAGGAUGUGGGUUUGAGUGUACUAAAGUGUAUUAUACUCCUAUUAAAGGUUGGGGAGGGGCUAUGGGUAGUUUUAAGAACCUAUAAUGAGAUUAAUAUUAAAAAAAUGAUUCUAGUUUUAGGCCAAUAAUUAAUUUGACGUUCAAACUAUGGUACUUCAAAAUCACAUUUAUAUUCUCUACGAUUGUAUUUGUUAUGUCUUCGAUUUAGGAGACAAACUUAGUCAUCUCACAACAUUGUUUUAGCAUCAAAAUAAAGAGGGGUCCCUCGGUUUAGUGUUGGAUGACGAACAAUUGGUGAAUUAGUACGAUUCGUAAUUAUUGUAUUUGGUUCACUGAAGAACAAAUUGACGUGACCAAUUGAGUGAGUAGUUGGAUUUGUCGAGGGAAUUAAUGAUCAAGUUUAAAUGACCCACGUAUUUGAGACCAUUGAUUUGAGCCAAGUCCUAGUUCGCAAGGCUACCGAGGAUUUAAAUCAUGGAAGCAAUUUUCAAGGUUAUUCGUUUGGUAAGGGUUAGCUAUUGGAUUGUUCCUGUAACACUCCUAACCCGUAUACGUCGAUAAAUUAGGGUUACGAAGCAUUAUCAGAUAAAAUGCAACUUAAUACAGACAUUCAGUAGAAUUCAAAAAUUUUACAUUUAUGUUAAAUUAGUCACAUAAGAAGUAAUUAUAAUUAUAAAUUUUACUUUAAACUUUUAUAACAAAACAUAACAUUUCAGUUCAGUUAAACCGUAAGUAAAAUAAGCUAGUUUCAUAUGGCUAUUAAUUAUAUAUAUAUGGUACAUUAAAGUACGACUUCCAAAAUAUUAUCUAGCCUAUACAUGCCAUAAGUUAAAAUUUAAACGUUUUAAUACCGAGAUAGUAGAUAGAGUGAUGAUCUUCACUAACGAUCCCCGAGUCUGCAGCUUGGUUUUUUUAUCUAUAAAACAAACGGACAAAAACAAUCAAAGUAAGCUUUUAUAGCUUAGUAAGUUUAUAGCAUAUCUAAAAUACAUAUAAACGAACAUAUGUAUAAACAUUAUAUGCUUAUAAUCAAGUUCCAAACAUAGUCAUUAAUAGCAUAUACUGCUUUCUAAUAUACUUAUCAUUUGCAUUUCAUAGAAUGCAUAUCUAUGAUCUUUCAAAUACAUAUGUCAAAAACUUAUAUUUUUACUUAUCAACUACAUAAACCAAAUGCACAUCUAUACUUUUAAUCCACAUGUGCCGAAUGCAUACAUGUAUAUUCAAUAAUUUUCAUAACAACCAAUAUAUGUGCCUAUUCACUAAACACAGAGAUCCAAACCUUUAUAUGCUCAUCAAAUACAUAUAGACAAAUGCUCAUAUACUUAUCCAUUAUAUAUAACCCAAAAUCAUAUAUAUAUCAAAUGCAUAUAAUCGCUUAAUUUAACAUAUUCAUCGGCACUUAGCCUGCUAGGCUUAUAGCCUGAUUCAGUUCACCGGCACUUAGCCUGCUAGGUUUAUAACCUGAUUCAGAUCACCGACACUUAGCCUGCUAGGUUUAUAACCUGAUUCAGAUCACCGGCACUUAGCCUGCUAGGUUUAUAACCUGAUUCAGAUCACCGACACUUAGCCUGCUAGGUUUAUAACCUGAUUCAGAUCACCGGCACUUAGCCUGCUAGACUUAAAGUCUGAAUUAUUUCACUGACAAUAAACCUGAUAGGCCCUGAGCCUGAAAAUCUCAAUUUACAGAAGUUGUAACUCAUAUUCGAACUAUAUUUGUAUAUAAUAUCCAUACAUAAAAAUUCAGCUCAAUAAUUUAUAAACUAUAUCUUUAAACCACAUAGAUAUAUAAAGAUCAAAUACCAAAUUCAGCUAAAUAAUUUAAUUAUACAUCCGAAAAUUCACAUAUAUAUAACUUAAUAAAUUAAAUUCUACUACUAAAAUCUUAUCAUUUAACUUAUAUCAUACCUUAAGUAAUAUAUAUUUACUAAUCGAAUCACUUAAAUACAUAUAUAUUUCAUAACCUUAAAAAUCAAAUCAAAGAAAAUAUAUCAUACAUUCGAACACCUUAUAGAUAAUCUAAGCUAACAAUUUCAUACCUUUGAUUCAAAACAAAAACUUAUACAUGUAUAUACAUACAUAUUCGAAAUUACUUAUACAUACAUAAUAUUCAUACCUUUAAAUAUUUUCAAGACUUAUUUAUGAGUAUAAAUAUAUGUUCCAACUCACAUAUACAUAUAUAUAACUUUCCUACCUUUAACCAAGUCCAAGGUUUUAUACAUGUAUAUGCUCAUAUAUAUAUAUAUAUUCGGACCUUAUGUAUACAUAUAUAUUAUAUAUAUACCUUUGACUAAAAACAAGAAUUUAUACAUAUAUAUAUUUUCGAACAUGAUACAUAGAUAUAUUUUCGAACAUGAUACAUAUAUAUACAUAUCAUUCAUACUUAAACCAAAUUCAAUCCAUAUACUUUCAAUUUCAGCUCAUCAAAAUACAAUAGAUAUACAUGCAUAUAUACUGAUUUAAUAACAUCAAAUUGCUAAUAGACUUACCUCGGAUAUCAGCGAACAAGAUCGACUAUUCAAUUACUUUCGUUUCCCCCGAUCCAAAUCCGUUUUCUUCGUUUCUUGAUCUGAACAUAAUCAAAUUUAACCUUUUUAUUCAUCAAAACAUUCAAUUAAGUCCAAAAAUACAUAAAUGGGCAAAUUACCAUUUUGCCCCUAACAUUUUACACUUUUUGCAAUUUAAUCCUUUUUGCACAAAACACAAAAUACACAAAAUUUGCCCACACUAAGCUAGGGCCGAAUAUUCCUUGUCUUCAUACAAGUCCACACAUUUCAUUUAUUUCACAUUUUAAUCCCUCAAGAAUUCAUUUUCACAAUUUAGCUCUAAUUUCUCAAAUUCACUAAAAAUUCAAAGACAAAAUAUGUUAAUCUAUCACAUUUCUUUCACUUUUCAUCAUCAACUAUCACAAUGUUCAAGCAUUCAUCAAUGGCACAUUUCAAAAUCAUCAACAAUUCACAAAAUUAAGACAUGGGUUUUGAAGUAUUCAAAGCAACGAUCUUAAAAACAUAAAAAUCAUCAAAAAUCGAACUAAAUCCAUACCUUAAUCCAAACUUGAAAGUGCCGAACCCUUAACAAGGUAAAUGGCUUUCUUUUCUUCUCACAUUCAGCCAAAAAAAUGAAUAACAUGCAUGGCUUUUAUUUUAUGUUUUAUUAUAUUAACAUAUUUAACUAAUUUACAAAACUAACCUUAAUGAUUUUACUUUAAUAAUUAACUAACCAUGUCCAUAAAAGUCCACUCAAAAUUUCAAUGGUAUAAUAUCAACAUAAGGACCCCACAUUAUAAAAGUCAUGGCAAUAUAGCACUUUAACAAAUUGCUAGCCACUUUUGCAUUUUACGCGAUUAAAUCCUUUUAUAAAAUCGAGCACACAAACGAUAAAAUUUUCACACAAGUAAAUUUACACAUAAUAAACACAUAAAAUAAUAUUAAAAUAUUUUUCAAACUCGGAUUUGUGAUCCCAAAACCACUAUUCCGAUUAGGGUCAAAACCGGGUUGUUACAGUUCCUAUAGUUAAUUUACAUAUGGAACGACUGGUGGUUUAAGACUAUUUCUCAAUCACUAUAAUCAACUUAUCAGUUGGAUGAGAAAAUCCAUUAUUUGGGAUCAGUUCAAAAUCGAAGUCAAAAUCGUGCUUGAAGUUGGAGCUUUCAUAUUAUUAGUUUAUUCAAAUCUAAUUUCAUUUGCUUAUUUUAUUUUCAUUUUUAUUUUUUUAAAUUUCUUCUAUUUAUUUUAUAUUCAUAUUUAAUUCCCCUUCUUUAAUUUCAUGGAUUAACCUAAUUCUUGGUCAUAAGAAAUAAUAAAAUUGAUUAGUGUAGCCUUUAUGGGAUCGACCUUACUCUCUAGAUUACAAAACGUAGUGACAGAUUCAAUAUUUUUCAGCACUUAACGAACUUGUUUUCUAAGCAUUUUAAUAUCUUUUAUUGCAUUUUCGCAUUUCCUAGUUUAGGAUUAAAAUAUUGCAAAAUAGGUGUUUUUACUCAUUAUUUCGAGUUAGUUGACCUAAUUUGGCCAAUAUCGACCUUAAGGUGAUUUUAAUAAUUAACUUGAGUGUGCAGGACACCUAAUUUUAGGCCCAAGAGCAUAAGAAAUGGAAGUUGAGUUGUAACACAAGCUUUCAGAGUCGCAACACAACCGAGCUAAUCAAGAAAGUCACAUUUAGAGUUAUGUGUCAUGACACAGGUGCAAUGUGAGGCCAAAAAUAAGCAAGGGUGUUCUCGUCCAUAAAAUACAUCUUUUUAUAUAAUUAAGGCUGGUGUUUACCUUAAUUAGGGCUGCUAAACUCUCCUACAAAUAGUUAAGUUGUGGAAAGCUUUGGGAGUUUUUUGCUACAUUAGUUUUAGGGUUUAUUUUAGUAAAUUUAGGUUAGUUUAGGUUUUAUUAUUUUAAUAACAUUUUUUUGUCACACCCGAUUUUCUCUUAAAUCCUAAAAUUUAAGGAAAGUUAGGAUUAAAUUGAAUGAAUUGGCAAAUUCACGGGCUUUACCUAGAAAUUUAGAAAUUUUAGUGGUUGAACUAUGAUUAGUUGAAUCUCAAUUAUGGUUUAAUUAGAUUGGAACCGACUAUCUCCCUAGUGGGAGACAAAAUGAUUAGUAGAGAUUGGCUAAAAUGGACUAAGGAUACCAUGCAAACUUUGGCUAUAAAUAUUUGUGGGUGGAGAGGAAAGAAUUCUUCUGAAUUUAGCUAGUAAUCUCCUUCUCGUCUGCAACGUUUUCUUUGGUUACUUCAAAGAAGAAAAGAAUGUUCGAGAAAGCUCUGCAUGAUGUGGUUAAUGUGAAGUUCAUAUUGGGAAAUGCGUCCAUAUUGUAGUAAACAUGUAGCUGUUUUUUUAUUUAUUUGAACGAUGAAUAAAUAAAUAAAGUUAAUUUCACAUUUCACUGUUAUGUCUUUUUUAUUUAUGUCUUUUAUAUUUUGCAUGCAUAAUUUAUUGUGGCAGGUAAAUAUUAGCUCAUUAAUUGUCUAAGUUCAAAUUGACGAUAAGUGGCAUUGAAAGAACGUUUACAUUACAAGAAAGAUAACUUACUUCAAUAGAUAAUCUAAAUGAGUCCGUAAUGCCAUAAAAGAAUUAAAGUGAAUAUUUGAUUCAAAUACUGAGAAGGAUUAUUAUGUCGUCUACAAUUCCGAUUGGGGAGAUGUCUAGCCUUGGUUAUCGGAGUAGUUGACUCCACAAAUAGAGACAUAGAUGUAUUCAUUGGUAGAAUGAUAUAUUAGACUGGACCCAAGAUGAAUUAAUUUUGAAUUCGUUUGUGAAUUAAUUCACUUGUGACGUUCAUGGUGUGAUUUACCUAAAUCCUGAGUUAGUCACUAACCAUGCGUAUGCAAAUCAUGAUAUAAGUGGAGGCUUAUGCUCUAAAGAUGAUCGAGCCCAUAGCCGGUAUGUUGGGUACAUGACUUGUGUAUGGCAUGACUUUACUAGCAAUAAUGGAGUUCAUAGCUCAAUUAAAGAGUUAAUGAUAUCCUCUUAUUGGCAUUGUGUGGAUUGAUAAAUAUGGAACAUGGUCACGGGUUGCUUGUUCUCGAAAGAGCAAUUUAUCCAAAUCAUUUGUUGAUAGUGAUCAUAUUAAUCAUUAAGAAGACACAAUGGUGACAAUGAGAUAAAAUAAGAUUGUAUUGAGUGAACGGAUUUAACUCAAAGGAAACAAGGAUAUCAUAUGAGGGCAACAUACACAUGACGAGGUCAUUGGACAAAGGAUUUGGAUGAAUUGCUUUCGUAAAGAGUAUACAAUAAUGAGUUUUUAAUCAUAGUACUUCUUGUGGACUGACUCCAUGAUUAAGUAAUUGCGAAUUAUCAAAACAGUGCUUCUGGACAUAAUUGCAAUCACGAAAGCCUAAUUGUAUAUGUCUGAUUGGUCCCUCCACUAGCUGAACAAAAGCUUGAUCGGACUGCAUUUGAAUUAGAAAAAAAUUCUAUGACUUAGGAAAUAAUUUAAUUGAGUCGAUUUAUUCAAUGUGGAAUUAAAUUAGGUGGUCGUGAGAAUUGUUCAACUAAAGAAUUUGAUUAAAGAAGUUUCCUGAAAAAUUAAUUUGGAAAAUCCAAGUGAUUUUUGAGAAAAUUAAUUUUGAUCAAGUAAAAUUAAAUUAAUCAAAUUAAUUAAAAUUAAUAUGAUAUUUUUGGAAAUUAAUUUUCAAGUUAGACAAUUGGCCCAAUGGGUAAUUGAACUUGAAAAUUGGACCAAAUAUCGUAAAUUGGGCUCGGAAGCCCAAAAUCGAGACCAAGACCCAAAAACAAGUCGAAUCGAUCUUGGUAUGUGAAACCGGAAAGACGAUCCAAUCGAUGGUUAGACCGAAACGGUCAGGUCAUCAUUGACCUAGACCGAACCGACAGCAGCCGAAUUGGCUCAAUAUGCCAUUAGGGUGUCGCACCCGCAUCACCAAACACGACGGUGUUGGUGGUUGCGACGACGGCGUCGCGGUGGCUAGCGGCGGUUUGUCAUCAGUGGUUGAGCAAUUAAAGAGUUGGACUCUACCAGAGAAUUUGAUUUCAAAUUAAUUAUUGGAAAAAUAAUAUUAUUUUAAUAGUUUAAUAUUAAAUUAUAUUUAAUAUUUAUCUUAAUAGUAUUUUAUUAAUUUAAUAUUAAAGUGAUUAUCUUAAUAUUUAAUUUAAUUUAAUUUAAUGUUUAUUUAUCUAAGAUUUAAUAUUAAAUGUAAUUUAAAUUUAUCUUGAUAAAUAUUAGAUUAAAUUUAAUAUUAAAGUAAUUAAGUUUAAUCAUAGUUGAACUCUCUAAACUCUCCCUAUAUAAAUAGAGCCUUGGGUCAUUAUUUACACACACUUGAAUUCAAGAGAAAGUUGUAGAAAGAAAAUUCUUUAAAGAGAUUAUUCUAGAAAAUUUUUAGAGGUAUUUUUUGAUUUACAACUUGACCCAAAAGUUUAGAGAAAUUGCAAAAUUACCCUACUGGUAAAUUUUGUGAGAAAUUUUCUGAUUCGAAGCGAGCCUACACUCGACAGACAUGAGCUUGAGGUAGUGGAGAAGACUACUCGGUCAAACCGCUCAUCCUAGACGAAUCGAAAAGGUACAAUUUUGAUUAAGCGUUUAUUAGUUUAGAUAUCACAACCAAGAUCUUGUUUCAGAAAAAAAAUUAAAGCUCUGGUUUUUCCCUAAAUUUAAUUUUCGUUGCAUUUUCCAAACCCUUUUUUCCAAUAGUUCGAAGUCUGAGAAACCAAGAAUUCGAUAGACUGGUAAGCCUUAAACCUCCCUGUACUCGUGGGUUAAAGGAAAGAGAAGUAAGGAUUCUCGAAAAGUUUCUAUAUAAUUAUGGAUUCUAGGUUUUAAAGUUUGAAUACCUUCAAGUUAUCCGAUAAAUGGUUACUAUGCUUAGCUGCCAGGACAAAUGAGGCUCUAGCGUUUGAACAAGCUAAGCUUGCAAGGAAGAAGGACGUAAGGUGAGUUUCAUGUAUUCUACCUUUAGGUGGUUAUUGAAGUUGAAUUGCUUGAAUGAUCUGCGUCUGUAGUUGUUUUGAGUCUGUAAAAUUCAUAAUCGUGUAUGAAUAUGGUAAAUGAGUGUGUUGUGAAUGUAUAACCCGGAACAAGUAUGUGAAUGCUUUUAAGUAUGAUUGUUAAAUGUCAUAUGAUGGUGAAUUGACGUAUAAAUAAGUGGUGUAUUGUAUGUUAAGUAAUAAAUACCUUGAUUUGCAUGAUAUGUAUGAUUAUAGUGUAUGUGCAGAACAAAUGUCUUUUACCUUGACGAGGUAGAUGAAGUUAGGAAAAAAUUGGCAGAACGGGGGAAUGGGUGGAUUGUUAAGGGUUGAAAGGGAGUAUGACAAUGUCAUGAAAUAUUAUCGAUUGGCUCGCUAAAGCGACACCUAUUGACUCUAUGGAGUGACACCGUGACAGCGGUAGGGUUCUUCAGAGCGACACCUCAAAAGUGGUAUAAGGUGUAAGAUCAUAGCCUAACUAUGAAAACCUAUAGAAUCCACUAGGAAAUUAAACGUGGGGUUACAAGGUGUAAGACCAUAGCUGAUCUAUGAUAACUAAUAGAUAAAGGUCCGCCAGGACAGUGAACAGGAAGCUGAUAGGAUAAGGGAAGGAGAACAUUGUAUGAUUCUCAUGAAGAGUAGUAUGAUUAGAUGAAUACGACACGUAUUAGAUCACGGGUAAGCAAGAUAGUCAAGAAUCUACCAAAUUGAAACGGAAAAGAAACCAAAAUUUGUGAUCUUUAACGAUGAUGAGAAAGUGGGAAAAAACUAUAUUUAGGCAUGAAAUAUUCCAUUGGUAUGAUUCCACAGAUUUUGAAUAAUAAACUAAAAUUUAGAUCACAAUGAGAUGCCCAAAUAGAACCUAAAUCUAAGGGUCCGUGGGUAGAAAGGGCAGCCAAAGAUGGGUAAGUCCACCGCGGGCUACUUAGAGAUAAUGAUCGCUUGAAUAGUCUGAAUAGUAGAGUCUACCAUAGGUUUACAGAGAUAAAGGAUGUAUAACUAAAACUCUGUAACACAGGAUAGUCCACAAGGGCCAUCAGACUAGAAAGUCUGCCAAGGGCUACCUUGGGUGGACAAUUCGUCGGGAAGUAAUAGAAGAGGGCUACAUUGCGAGGUACAAAUCCACCAGGAAAAUGGGGGUAUCUAUUCAAACAACUUACCAUUAGGCUUAAAGUGAAGAAUAAGAACAAGAGAAAGUGUCCUCCCUCUUGGAUGAACCACGAUAAGACUAAUUAAAAGGAGGCUAUUGUAAGAGUAAGGUGGAACCCUCCUAAGUUUAGUCUAGUAUUAGAUGAAUCAAUUAGAGUAAGGAUCCAAAGUGGAUGUGAGUAUAAUUAAAGACAGCCAAUGGUAUUCAACGAAAUUUAAUCCAAGUGUAUGGUGAGCAUUAGAAAAGGGCAAGGUUUUGACCAUGUCAGUAAAUCUGCGGAACGCGAGAGGAUAAACAGGGAGUUCAAAAUUUUUACUUCAAUAUUUUAUUUCCUGACGGACAUGAAAUAUUGUCAUUUCUCCUUUCCACAAAGCCUCACUAGGUUCAUUUGAACUUAUGAAUUUAUUGCUUAUUUGUAGGAUAAAUGUUUCAUCUCGAGAAUCGAGUGGAUGGACCAAGCUAGACACCGCCAAAUUUGAGGGAUGGGAGAGGAAGUCGUUCAUGUGUUUAGAGUGGCUCCCUUAGAGGCCAUGCCUCGGGGAUUAAGCUAGAUGUAUCAGUUUUAAAGACUUAAUUUAGAAUUGUAAAUACUACUAAAAUUUAUAUGGUAGUAAAUUUGUAAAAGUUCUAUUUCUUAAUUGGACAGUGUCCAAAUACUUAAAUAAAUUGUUUUAGAAAUUUUGUUAGGUUAUUGGGUUGUUUGUGGCUUUCGAUACUUGGACCCAGUGAUUGGGUUGGGUAUAGGGUGUUACAUUUUUAUUUCUUGAUUUUCGGCUUGAUUCGAUUUAAAUCCAAGUCUUUGUAAUUUCAAUAUUUCAGUAUUUUUUCUUUUUUUAUUUGUUUGCAAAUGACGAGAUUUCACUAUUCCGAACACCCCAAGAUAUCAUACAGACAAUUUUUAUCUUUUAUCUUUUAUAUUAUUUUGUGUUCUUGCAUGAUUAAUCUAAUCGUAGGAAAGAUGGUUUUUGAGAUGAUGAGUGACUAAAUCUUUAGGGAGAUUAAUGAGCAGAAGUGAAGAGUGAUUAACGAAAGAGUUAAGGUUUUUCCAGUAGGAUUAAUUAGUGUAAAUACAUGUGUUCUUAAACCUAGGCUUGACGACUCUAGGAAGUAAUAUAGGUAAAUGGAUCGAGAAAUGAGGAUACCGUGUAAAUCAUGUAUUUAUCCCAGUUAGGAAAGUAAGGCCGAGAGGUAAGCGUGUACUGGUUGAUUAGUUAGACAGUAGAGGCCGAGAGGUAAUAUUGUCUAGGUAAUAAUUAAUUUUCUCAUAAAAGCCUUAAGUUUGAAAUUGAUUACAACCACAGAAGUGAGUUAGUCUUCUAUCUAUAAGUCUGAGUGAUUUUUUGUUUAUUGACAUUAUUUUCCUAGUUUUGAUUUUUAAUUUUUUUCCCUUAUCUUAAUCUUUUCUAUUUAUUGUCGUAAUAUGAUUUUUAAUAAGUACUAUUUAGACCUAAUACUGUAGAUAAUAAUAUUUUUAGAUUUAAUUCAACCUCUCUUAGGUACGAUCCUCGGAAUACUUCCCGGUGUUUCAUUGUAACACUAAUCUAUAUUACAAUUUAAUCUGUUCGCUUGCAAAUAUCACACUUAAUUUAUAUUUAUUUGCACGAUUUUAACUCUAAACGUUCGCAUGUUUGGAGGCAGUCGAAAAACAAUCUCCUAGUUGAACUAGGCGAGAGAGGGGCAGCUAACCCUAGUUAUUUUAUUAGGGUUUUCUCCCCCCAUACUUGUUAUGAGGGGGUUUUGGGCCUCUCCUACAUCGAAUCCAAUUAUAUGUACUUCUUGGACUUUUAACUCAACACUUUAUAAUUUAAUCCAACACAAUACAUGUUUUUCUAUUUUCCAAAAUAAAUAUUAUUUUUUUUAAAUUAAUUUUCUAAUUAAAAAAAUAUUACAACUCAAUUUUAAUUCCGUUAAAAUCAUGAAAACUUUACUGUAAAAGAAUCUAUGAGAAAAUAUUUAAUUUCCACUUUCAACAUAUUCAUAAUGAACAAUUAAUUUAAUUCCAUUUUUGAACCUAUUCAUUUCUGUUCAUUUUAUUCAACAUGUAAUUCAUUUCUGGUUUCAACGAGCCAGCGGAGGGACCAAUUGGACAUAUGCGAUUAAGGUUCAAAUGAUUUAUAAUUAAAUUCCAAUUUUUUGCCUAUUAAUUAUAAACUAAUUUACUCACGAACUCAUUCCAUUAUAGUGUCGUGACUAAGCUCUCCCAACGACAUAUCAUUAGAAAGUAACUCAAUUAGUGUUCAUCUAAUGACCUUAUCAUAAGUGUGUUAUCCUCAUAGGAUAUCCUUAAUCUCUUUGGGAUAAAUUCAUUCUCUCAAUAUGGUCAUAUUUUAGCUCACAGUAACCAUUACAUCUUCUUUCAUAAAAAGCCAAUCACCAUCAAAUAAUAAUUAAGUCAUUCAUCACAAAUACAAACGACCCGUGCCUACAUUUGCUUUUCAUCUAUCAUGUAAUGCCAAUGAGAGGAUAUCAUUGUAACAACCUGUUUUUUAGUGGUGUCAGAAAUAGUAGUUUCAGAACCACAAAUCCAACAAGUGAGCCCGUAAAUAUUAUAAUUUCAUAUUUACAUGUCAAAUAUAGUAUUAUAUUAAAUAGUAAUUUGAACAUUUUUGCUAAUUGAACGAACAGUUAAGUAUAAGUGAUUUAUCCCUAAAGUUAAAUGGUUUUGAAAAAUGAGGUUUCGGGAUCUCAUUUCUGUAAACUGAGCCUGUAAAUAUUUUUAUUAAAUAUUUAUGAAAUGACUAUAUAUGUGUAUUGAUGUUUGAUUCGGAAAUUCUAGCGAUUGAAUGGUUAAUUAAGAAAAAGGACUAAAUCAUAACAAUCGUAAAAAAUUGAUUCCAUUGAAUUUAGUUGUUUAGUGACUUAAUUAAAUUUUAUUAAGGGAUUUAAGUGGUAAUUUAGCCACUUUCAUAAUUUUUAGAAGAUGAGUGCAUGUUUUGCUAAUUAUAUUAUAAUGUUAUUUUAAAAUUUAAAUUAAAUAAAGGUUAGUUUAAUAAAAACAAAAUUAGGGUCAUCUUCCCCAUUUUAUUUUCUUCCACCAAAACCAUAAAAUAACAAGAAGCUAUAGCCAUUUUCUUGAAGCAUAAUCGACAUUUGCAUGUGAGUACUCUUUCAGCUCGUUUUUAGUGAUCUUUAUGUUUUUUUGAUCGUUGUAGCUUAAUCUAUCUAACUCGGGAGUUAAUUCAUAAAUUUUUUAAAUUUUUUGAAUUGUGUCAUUGUUGAGUUUGAGGUAUUUUUGAAGUUUGAUGGUAUAUUUAUAAGCUUGAUAGCUAAAUAGGACUAUUUUGUAAUGUAGUUUUUAGUGAUUUUAAUGUUUAAGGGCUAAAUUAUUAAAAUAGUAAAAUUUCAUGAAAUUAUUGUGAAAUUGUGAAAUAUAUGGGCUAUACAAAGACUAUAAGAAACUCAGGUAGUAUGGUUUGGGCUAUAUUUUGUUUAAUUUGAAAGAUCCGGGUUUAGGGGUUAAAUUGCAUAAAGGAUAAAAUUUUAGGGUAAAAUUUAAAAUAAUAAAAGGGUUUAUAUGCAUAAGUUUAAUUAUUUAAGUUGUUUUAAAAGGUUAAUUGGAUUAAAAUUAUUAUUUAGAUCAAGAAAUGAAUCAACUGGACAAUAAUCAUGGAAAAGGAAAGUUAGUAGAGUAAACAUUGGUGUCGCGUUCGUAGCCAUUUUUUAAUAGGUAAGUUGUAAAUUGAUUAAUUAAUUAGUUGUUGUAGUUGUGAUUUAAUAAUUGUCUACGAAUGUUGUGAUUGUGUUUAUUUUCUUGAUAAAUGGUAAUUGAUGAAAUGGAUUAAGUUGCAGUGCUAAUAAAAUUAAAGGUUAUGAUUGAAAAUGGAAAACUAUAUAGAUGAGUUCUUGUGAUGAAGUAAUUUAUAUAUAAUUAAGUGAUAUGAAUAAGAAACAUGACUUGUAUGAACCUCAUGAAUGCUUAGGAUACAAAUGACAUGUUGAUCUACCACAAAUUGACGUGGAAAAUUAGGCUUUUCCUACACACUUAAGGAGCUUUUUCUCAAGCAAAAUAUAAUUUUUAGCAUAGUUUUUCAUUAUUUUCAUAUUUUCAUAUUUUCAAAUAAUAAGUGAAAAUGUCUCAAUUUUGUCUAUUUUUUACCCAAAUUGGCCGAUAGUGUCAUUUGGUGGCCUAACGUGUGUUUGAAUGCUAUAGAGAAGCGUUAGAGGUUGAAAACGAGUGAGAACGACACCAAGGGCAAGGGUAUAGCGAUAGCCAACCCUUGGAAUCGUGACAUCCCAGACAAAAAGACCAAGUAUUCCCUUCAGUGGUAUCACAAUAUCACCUUCGUCAGGGGGACAAACUUGGACAAAAAGGGAAACCUUUAUCUACUUGUCCCACCAAUCACCCGUGUAAGGGCAUUUUUUACAUCGAAAAGUCAUCAAAAUACACUUCAAAAAAAAUCAAAAAUUGCUAAGGAGGAGGGGAAACACACAUUAGCUUAGUUUAGGUUUAGGUUUCUCUAGUUUUUCUUUAGUUUUCUCUGCACUUUUUCUAGGGUUUUUAUUUUUCUCUUAUUCUACCUUAGAUUAGAGUUUAUUUUUCUGCAUUUACUUCUUGUUCUUGAUGUUCAUUAUGUUAGUUAAGUUGGUUAACACUGUAGCUAAGAUUUAUUUACAUUUCUAGUCCCUGUACUUUGCUUUCAGGACUACCUAAGCUUUAGUUUAAUGUAUUUCAAUUUAUUUUACUUUAAAUCUGUCAAAGCUUGUUCAUUUUAUAUUUCUUCCUUUAGAUUUGUUUGUUAACUUUUUUUUGGUUUCAUGCUAUUUAAGUUUUUUUUGUAUAAAAAUCUCAACUUUUGUAUUUUUCUUAAUCUUUACUUUCAUGGAUGCCUUAUUUUCCAUUUCUAUGUUUAUUUUCUUUAUUUUCAGUAUGUGUAGCUAAACCUUUAAGAAGGUUGGUUGAAGGAGAUGUGGAAAACUAAAAUCUUUAGAAAAUGGUCUAAAUCGUAACAAAUUGGACUAAUUUGAAUAAAACUUAGCUAGUGAUGCCCCUAAGGGAAUAUUAAGAUAAAGUGAGACUAGAAGGUAAUCUUGUCACGCACCCUUUCAUUAGUUCCAGAUUAACCAAUGAGGUCGGAAGAUAAGUUGCACCUAAUUUGUCUAAGUCGGUAAAAUUGACAUCGAAAGAUAAAAUAGAGCCACUUAGUAAUUUAAGCGAUUUAUGUCCCGAGUUCAAAAUUUGGUGAACCACCUCGAAGUCAACUAACCCCCAUUAGUUAUUUGUGAGAUAGUCCCUGCAGUUUACAUUCUUUCAAUUUAGUCAUUAGGGUAGAAUAUUUAAUUUUCUUUCAAAAAUAAUCUUUUAUGGACUGUCGUACUAUAAAAUCAUACUAGUAGCCACUUAGACUCUAUUGUGUAUGCUAGUUAUUGCUCAAUCACCUCUUCCUUUGGGUUCGAUCCUUAGAAUACUUCGGUGUUUCAUUGUAACACUAUAAAUAUUACAACUGACUUGUACUCUUGCAGUAAAAUUGGGUUUUAAAAAUAGUUUCAUAAAUUCGUUGUUUUAAUGCGCAAGCGUGUAACAACCCGUUUUCAGUGAAAUCGAAACAAUAGUUUCGAGACCAUAAAUCUGAGCCAAAAGAAAAUUUAUUUUAAUAUUAUUGCAUGGUCUGCAUUAUGAUAGGAAUGACAUAUGAAAAUUUUGUUGAGAAAAUUUUACCAAUUACAUGCUUAAUUAUAAAAAGGACCAAAUUGCAUAAAAUGCCAAAGUUGAGUUCUAGUUGCUAUAGUUGCUAUAGGUCCUUAUAUAGCAAAUAGACCAUUAAGAGGAGUUAGUAGAUAAAUGUGAUGAUUCAUCCAUGGAAAAUUAAAUAAAGAAAAGAACUAAAUUGGAAAUUGAAAUAAUUAAAGAUGAUAAUAAAAUAAUAUCAUCUUAUUUCAUCAUCUUCCCCAAAUUAUUUUAUGAAAACCCUAGCUAAGAGAAAAGACAUCAAGCAAGCUUAAUUAGGUAAGUAAUCUUGUCUCGUUUUUAGUAAUUUUUAUAUUCUCGAUAUCGUAAUAAUCUAAUCUAGCUAUUUUGCAGAUUAAUUUGCAAAGUUACCAAAGUAUUAAAACUUUGACAUGGAUAAGUAUGCUGGAAUUUUAAAAUUUAUGAUAGAAAUUGAAAGGUUAUUGAUAAAUAAACAACUUUUGUAAUUAUGAUUUAGGGACUAAAUUGUAAAGAUGGAAAAGUCAUGGAAAAAUUUUAAUUUUUGUGAAAUACAUGGGCUAUAAAUGUUACUUGUAAAAAUUGACUAGGCUUGGAAUAAUGAUUAAAUUGCAUGAAUUUCAUUUUCUGAGCCUAGGGACGAAAUCAUAAUUAAUCAAAAGUGUAGGUGAAAAAUUGUAAUUUUGCCUAGGAUGUGAAUUGAAUUGAAUAAGAAUUGUAUUAAAUUGAGUUAAAUUUACUCGUAUAGAUCCAGAAAGAUCAAAUAAGGAGUUAGAUCGAGGAAAAGAAAAAGUGUCGGAUUAGUAGAUUUUCAUACACGAGCAAGUGUUGAGGUAAGUUCAUGUAACUAAAUUGUGCAUAUUUAUAUUUUUGAAUUAAAUGUGUAUAUGUGAAUUGUAUAUUUUCCAUGUAUAUGAAAUUUCUUUAAUAUCCGAUAAUGCCGAAUAAAUGUUAAGUCUCGUUUGAACAAAUGAAAAUCGAUGGAUACAAGUUUUUCCGUAUUGGUUGUAGUCUUGUGUAUGUUGCAGAUAAACCACUGCUCGAAAGAGCGUCCUGUUAUUAACCCUUUCAAGCUUUCCAUUAUAUAGUUCUUGUGAGCUUCCCAUUAUAGCUCUUCGGAGUUUCCCGAUAGGUGGUGAUUCUACAUGUGUUGUGGACACACCUUAGCUCUUAUGAGUGUCCCAAUUAAAGGCUUUUCACGAGCUUCCCGUUAAAUUGACUCUUUGUGAGCUUCCCGAUAUGACUCGCUUGAACUUCCCGUUAUUAAUCUAUCUGGAGCUUCCCAUUAUUGGCUCUUUGGAGCUACCUGUUAUUAGCUCAUAUGAGCUUCCUGAAUAUGGCUCUUAUGAGCUUCCCGAUAUAAAGCUCGGAUAAGCUCCUGUUACAUGGCUCACAUGAGCUUCCCGUUAUAUGGCUUGAGAGAGUGCUUCCCGUUAAUGUGCUAUUAUGAGCAUUCCUAAAUAUGAAUUGACGAAUUACAGUUUUGUACACUUAGUGUGUACUACCCGUGUUGUAACACCCCUUACCUGAGACCGUUUUCGAAGUCGAGCACGAGGCGUUACUUUACUUGUCUUACUAGUUUGAGGCAUAAAAAUUUGCUUUUGAAACUAAUCUCACUAUUUACAAUAAAUCUAUCCAAUCGCAUAGCAGUUACUAAAUUAUUUAUAACUCAAGAUACAGAACUUGAAAUUUAAAUCCGUAAAUUUUUCCUGAAACUAGACUCAUAUAUCUUUUUACCAUAAAUUUUUCAAAAUUUUUGGUUCGACCAAUUAGUACAGUUUAAUAGUUAAAGUCUCCCCUGUUUCACUACUUGGCUGUCCUAACCUUUUAUCACUAAAAUUUAAUUAUCUCAUUGUACAGACUUCAUAUGGUGUUCUCACUUGUUUAUACAGAAAAUAGACUCAAUAAGAAUUCUAUAAAUAUAAAUUAAAACUCAUAACUAUUUUUGUACAAUUUUUAGUGAUUUUCUAAACUCAGAAUAGGGGACUUCAAAAAUAGUUCUGACCAUGUCUCACCAAAAUUCACAUAUCUCAAAAUAUAAAAUUCCUUUUGUUAAACCGUUAUUUUUACAUGAAAAUAGACUCAACAAGAUUUCAUUAUAUAUAUCAUACACCAUCUAAUUCAUUAUAUACUAUCCUAAGUGAUUUUUCAAAAUCACGUCACUGCUGCUGUUUGAAAUCUAUUUCUUUGCAAAUUAUUACUCUUUCAUGAUUUCUAUGCAUAAUUUAUCACCUAAACAUGUAUAACAACAAACACCUUCAUACUUAGCCAUUUUGACAACCAUUCAUCAUUAGAUAUUUACACAUCAUUCUUUAGCAAAAUCAUAAUACAACAUUCAAAAUAAGUAAGUCCUUAUACAUGCCAUAGUUCAAACAUAGUUCAUCAUAAAAUACCGAGUCAUUGUGGUUGAUAGUGUGGACGAUCUCUGACGUCUUUAGAAUCCUCGAAUUUGAUUAAUAAUGCUAUAUAAAAAGAAAAUAAACAAAGUAAGCAUAAUGCUUAGUAAGUUUACAAGUAAAUAAAUAACAACAUUUAACACAAUUAAUAAUACUCAAGUGACAUAAUCUUUAAUUUCCUCUUUACUUACUUCCUUACUUGUUCUCUUGCUUGAUUACUUAGUAACUCAUAAUUAUGACUUACUUUUCUCUUGCUGAAACGUUGAUUUUCAAUGGGUAGCAUAAUAUACUCUUGACUCUUAUAACUCACUUGAACUUGCCAUUUAUGCUUUUAACUGAACUUUAAUGAACAUAAGUUAUUUACUAGCCUGUUGAGCCACAUUGGAAUAAUAAGGAUACUUGGGUCUCUUUUUGAUAAUAACAUGCCAAAGCCAUGUCCCAGACAUGGUCUUACAUGGGAUGUUUCAUGUACUGCCGAUGACAUAUCCCAGAUAUGGUCUUACAUGGGAGUUCUCAUAUCGGUGCCUAUGCCAUGUCCCAGACAUGGUCUUACGGGGGACCUCUCAUCUCGGUGCCAAUGCCAUGUCCCAGACAUGGUAUCACAUGGGACCUCUCAUCUCGGUGCCAAUGCCAUGUCCCAGACAUGGUCUUACAUGGGACCUCUCAUGAUCUCAAGGAUGCCAAUGCCAUGUCCCAGACAUGGUCUUACAUGGGAUCUCUUUACCCAAAUGUCAUGACAUUUGUAUCCAAUACAUUCCUUAUGUUUCAACGGGACUUUUUAAUAUCAAUUCUCUAUCGUCUCAUACUUGAAUCAACAUCAAAUAAAUUCAUAAAAUAAAUACAUAAUUUCUGGAAAAUAGCAGCAUUAAUAAUAAUUAUUGAAAUAUUGCAUUUAUUUACCGUAAACUUACCUCGGUACCAAAUAUAGCCAAAUCUACCACUUAGUCUUUAAUCUUAUUCUUUCCUCGAUCUAACCUCGAAUUCCAUUCUUCUUGAUAUAUAAUAGCAAAUUUAAAUUAUUUAAUACUCACAUUCAUUAAUACAGCCCUCGACUCUAACUUUGGAAAAAUUACAAUUUUGCCCCUAAACUUUUACAUAAUUACACUUUUUCCCUAAAGCUCGAAAAUUAAACUUCAUCUCUUAUUAUUAUGUUUUACAACAUGCUGAACAUUUUUCUCUUCUAUGACAACAUCAAAUUCUCACUCUAACAUCUACUUAUGAACAUUAGGUAUUUUACCGAUCAUGUCAACUUACUCAUUUUCGCUUAAAAUCGGCUAGCAAAAGUUGUUUAACAUAAUUUAUAGCUUCAUAUUCUAUCAUAAAACAUCAAAAUAAACACUUUUCAACUAUGAGUAUUUUUCCAAAUAUAAACCAUAGGUUAAAUUAUUGUUAGAAUAAGCUAAAUUAAGCUACCGGGAUCUCAAAAACGCAAAAAGCAUUAAAAACGGGGCUCAGAAUCACUUACUAUGAGCUUGAAAAAGUGUGAAAACCCUAGCUAUGGUGUCUUUCCAAAUUCGGCAGCAAGCUAUGGAGAAGAUGAUAUUUUUUCCAUCUUUUUCUCUUUUUAUUCUUUUUAUUAUUCAUUUACUAAAAUACCCUUCAAUAAAACUUUAGUUAUUUUUAUCUAUGCAUGCCUAUUUUUGUCCAUGGAAAUUUUAUGGUCUAAUUACUAUUUAAGGACCUCUACUUUGAUUAUGCACUUCAAAUAAAUCCUUUAUCAUCUAAAACUCAUAUUUACCCACUUUUGCAAUUAAGUCCUAAUAGGCAAUUUAGGCAUGCAAUCAAUAAAAUUUCUUAUCAAUACUCUAAUACUUAUAUCUAAUCACUCGAUAAAUCAUAAAAAUUAAUAAUAAUUUCUCUUUAAAUCAAAUUUGUGGUUACGAAACCACUAUUCCGAUAACCUUAAAUUUGGGCCAUUACACGUGUAUCCAUCGAUAUUUUAAAUGAUUCAACGGGCAAAAUCCUGACAUGAUAACAUAUGAAUCCAAAUUGAAUCGUUACCCAUAUAUAUAUGUAUAUAUAUAUGUCGAAACCAUUUUUACUUGAAAAAACGGGGAUCGACUUUUAAACAUAGAAAUGGAGUCGCCACUGAUAUUUUAUUGAGGUGUGAUCAGUUCACCUUGAAAACGAUUUUAGGUCUACAAAUGUUGAGAAAACUAGUUCGGGAGUCGGUUACGCACGAAGAAGGGUUAACACCCUCGCAACGCCCAAAAAUUGGUACUGAAUUGAUUGUUUAAUGUCUUAGUAUUGAGAAUUUAAAAAGAUUUUAAAAUACAAUCCUUUGAAAAGAAAAUUUGAACAAACCGAAUUGGAUGAUAAGAUAUACUCAUUUCAAAGAGAUAAAUUUUUAUACUCAGUGAGUUAGGGUGCAACAAUUUAAUCUUCGAAAUUAAGUUUAUCUUUUAACUUUAAAAACUCAUGCAUUUAAAUUUGAGAAGGAUAUUCAGUUAUUUGGGUCAAAUGAGAAAUCAAAACCUAGUAAGUUAGGGUUCAAUUUUCCAAAAUUCCUAAAUACCGAAUAUUGCCUUUAUUUUUUUUAGAGAAAAAGAAAAUCUUCAUCUCAAGAAAACAACAUGUCAUAUCCAAUGCGUUAGGUCACAACGUAUCAAAUUCCCGAGAAUGAGCUUUUUAUUUAUGUGUUUUGAUUAAAGAAUAUUCUCGAUUAUUUAGACUCAACGAGGAAAAUUAGAACCCAAUACGUUAGGGCUCAAUCCUCUCGAAGAUCUCAAAUACCGAGUAUUACGUUAUCUUGAAAAAUGAUUUCAAAACUUAAACCAUAUUAAACGCAAUCUUUUGAGCGAAUAGAGCGCAAUGGAAUAAUAAUGUACAAUAUGAAGCAAUAAUUAAUAAGCCAAAGUAUACACUAAUAAUCAUCAAUAACCAAUAAAUACUAAUAAAUAAUAUAAUAAAUAGGCGGGCAAUAAUAUCCAACACACAUCAUGCGAACACAAAUAUCAACAUUCAACAACUAAAUGAGUUAAUCAUCGAUUUUGGAAGAAAAGCUAAGCGAAACAAUAUAAAUAAAAUGUAACAAGUUUUCAAAUAAAUAAAAUGAAUAUUGAAAUAUAUCAAAAAGUUAGAAAUGAAUACUAUAUGAAAUAAUAAUAUAUAAAUGAAUUUUCAGGUAAAUAUUACAUGAAAAGAAACUCAAAAUAUAUAUACAUAUGCUAAUUUAAAUAAAUGAUACAUACAAAAUGAAAAGAAAACUUUAUAAUAGUAUAUGUAUGAUAAAUUUAGAUAAUAUUAAUUUAAAAUAAUAGCAUAUUAUAUUUUAAAUAAUUCUAAUGAUAAACUUUAAAACCAUAUUAAAACUUAAAUAUUAAAAUAAUGCUAGGUUUAUAAAUAAAUAUAUAUAUACCAAAGUCAACAAAAUCGAAAUAAAAUUUUUAGAAAAUGAAUAUAUUGAAUUAUGGAUUAAACCGGAUUCAAAACAAAAUCAUAAGGGAAAAACAAAAAUAAAAUAUAAUUAAGGAGCCAAAAUGAAACACGCGUAUUUCAUAGGGGACCAAAUAGACAAUAUUCCCUAUCAUUCAAAAAGCAUUGCAGCAGUAUGGGCCAAAAUGAAACAACAUUGAAAAUGUGGAGCAAAUUUUGAAAAUAAAUAAAAUAAAAGAGAACCGAUUUGAAAUUUUUUUGAAAUUGAAGGGACUAAUGCAGCAAUUAAGUGCACCAGUCUAGGAAACCAGGUCAGAUCAUUAAAAACAACGUCGUUUUGGACGUAUGUCUCCUCAACUAAUGAGAGGAUGAAAUUGAAAACAAAAUAAACCCAUAUGGCCGAAAUUAAAAAAAACUGAAAGGGAUUAAAUCAAAACAAAUUGAGAAAACAGGAGGAUUCAAUGUGAAAAUAAACCAUUAGUAUAAUACACGCGGAUCCUUUUUCUCGAAUCGGGUCGGAUCAUCGGAUCAAUGCCAAUACGGCACCGUUUUGGAGCCACAGAGUCCGGCCUCAAACGGUGUCGUUUUAUAUAUUGGAUAAAAGCUACCGAAAACCCUAAACACUCAUUAACUUCAUUUACAACAGCCUUCAGAAAAAAAGAAAAACCAUCCGCCGCAUUUUGUUCAUCCCCAAACUCUCGCUCAACUCCGAUCGCAACGGAGCAAACGAUGAUUCGGCUAAUAGGUAAACCACUCUCCUCUUAGCCUUUUCUUCCUUUUAUUUUUGUUUGGUGUAUAAAAGAAACAAAGAAUCCAAGAAAUCAAAAAGAAAAGAGAAAAAAACGACGGAGAAAAUCACCUUCCAAAAAAACUUUUUUCUUCUCUUUCUUGUUUGUAUUCAAUAUGCGUAAAAAAAGAAAGCCCCAUUUACAGAAACAAAUCCGCUUUUAUAGCUGAAUAUAGAAUGAAAAUUACAAAAAAUAUUUUCCUAUUCUAUUAUUCUUUUUUUUUUUUGCUUCUAUUUUCUGUUGUUGUUUGUUGGUGUUGGUUGUUGCAGGUAAAGCCUGGAGAAGGCGCGUGUGGACUUGGCGCGGAGGCGCAACAAGCGCAGGGAUCUGGUUCGGCUACGGCGCAAGGGCAGAAAGCUGCUAGGGCUGAGGCACAAGUGUUUUCCAGAAACCCCUAGGGGUUUCUGGAAUUCGGACCGUUUUGAUUUGGGCUUAACUGGGUUCAUGGUUUGGGUCUGGUAUUUGGGUUAAAUAGGCUAGUGUAAUUUAGACUAAAUUAGGUUUGGCUUUAAUUGUUGGGCCAUACGGGUUUGCUGUAGGUAUUUGGGAUUUGUAAUACUAGACACUAUUGUUUUUGGACUAUUAUUUUAUUUUAUUUGGUUUUUAUUUUUUUGAUUAUUUAAUCUGCAUGGGCCCGGGCUAAAAUUGGGUAGUACAAUAUAUAUAUAUAUAUAUAUAUAUGAAAUACAUGGAACUUGACUCUUGAUGAGCUCAUCCUUAUUCUUGAUAUUUACAUGAAAUAAAUAACUAACAUGUUUAGUGAGAUUAUGUGUUUAGGCUUUUGGCCAAGAUGUUUGGAAUGUGUUUGUAUCCUUAUUCUCAAUUACUCAAUGCACCAGUUUUUGGUUCCUUAUAUAUUUGAACUCAGGUUUUUACUUGCAUUAAAGUAUACGACUCACUUAUACAUGGUCUAUCAUCCACUCAAGCUUAAUGUAUG